UACGUAGGGACCAAGCGUUGUUCGGAUUUACUGGGCGUAAAGGGCGCGUAGGCGGCGUGUUAAGUCAGCUGUGAAAUCUCCAAGCUUAACUUGGAACGGUCAGCUGAUACUGAUGUGCUAGAGUGCAGAAGGGGCAACCGGAAUUCUUGGUGUAGCGGUGAAAUGCGUAGAUAUCAAGAGGAACACCUGAGGUGAAGACGGGUUGCUGGGCUGACACUGACGCUGAGUGCGCGAAAGCCAGGGGAGCAAACGGG
rnacentral:rRNA from 1 species